rnacentral:rRNA from 1 species
UACGAAGGGGGCUAGCGUUGCUCGGAAUUACUGGGCGUAAAGCGUGCGCAGGCGGUUAUGUAAGACAGUUGUGAAAUCCCCGGGCUCAACCUGGGAACUGCAUCUGUGACUGCAUAGCUAGAGUACGGUAGAGGGGGAUGGAAUUCCGCGUGUAGCAGUGAAAUGCGUAGAUAUGCGGAGGAACACCGAUGGCGAAGGCAAUCCCCUGGACCUGUACUGACGCUCAUGCACGAAAGCGUGGGGAGCAAACGAGG